UAGGGAAUCUUCGGCAAUGGGGGGAACCCUGACCGAGCAACGCCGCGUGAGUGAAGAAGGUUUUCGGAUCGUAAAGCUCUGUUGUUAAGGAAGAACGAGUGUGAGAAUGGAAAGUUCAUGCUGUGACGGUACUUAACCAGAAAGGGACGGCUAACUACGUGCCAGCAGCCGCGGUAAUACGUAGGUCCCGAGCGUUGUCCGGAUUUAUUGGGCGUAAAGCGAGCGCAGGCGGUUAGAAAAGUCUGAAGUGAAAGGCAGUGGCUCAACCAUUGUAGGCUUUGGAAACUGUUUAACUUGAGUGCAGAAGGGGAGAGUGGAAGUCCAUGAGUAGCGGUGAAAUGCGUAGAUAUAUGGAGGAACACCAGUGGCGAAAGCGGCUCUCUGGUCUGUAACUGACGCUGAGGCUCGAAAGCGUGGGGAGCGAACAGG
rnacentral:rRNA from 1 species